GGUUAAGCGACUAAGCGUACACGGUGGAUGCCCUGGCAGUCAGAGGCGAUGAAGGACGUGCUAAUCUGCGAAAAGCGUCGGUAAGGUGAUAUGAACCGUUAUAACCGGCGAUGUCCGAAUGGGGAAACCCAGUGCAAUUCGUUGCACUAUCGUUAACUGAAUACAUAGGUUAACGAGGCGAACCGGGGGAACUGAAACAUCUAAGUACCCCGAGGAAAAGAAAUCAACCGAGAUUCCCCCAGUAGCGGCGAGCGAACGGGGAGCAGCCCAGAGUCUGAAUCAGCUUGUGUGUUAGUGGAACGGUCUGGAAAGUCCGACGGUACAGGGUGAUAGUCCCGUACACCAAAAUGCACAGGUUGUGAACUCGAAGAGUAGGGCGGGACACGUGGUAUCCUGUCUGAAUAUGGGGGGACCAUCCUCCAAGGCUAAAUACUCCUGACUGACCGAUAGUGAACCAGUACCGUGAGGGAAAGGCGAAAAGAACCCCGGCGAGGGGAGUGAAAAAGAACCUGAAACCGUGUACGUACAAGCAGUGGGAGCACCUUCGGGUGUGACUGCGUACCUUUUGUAUAAUGGGUCAGCGACUUAUAUUCUGUAGCAAGGUUAACCGUAUAGGGGAGCCGCAGGGAAACCGAGUCUUAACUGGGCGUUAAGUUGCAGGGUAUAGACCCGAAACCCGGUGAUCUAGCCAUGGGCAGGUUGAAGGUUGGGUAACACUAACUGGAGGACCGAACCGACUAAUGUUGAAAAAUUAGCGGAUGACUUGUGGCUGGGGGUGAAAGGCCAAUCAAACCGGGAGAUAGCUGGUUCUCCCCGAAAGCUAUUUAGGUAGCGCCUCGUGAACUCAUCUUCGGGGGUAGAGCACUGUUUCGGCUAGGGGGUCAUCCCGACUUACCAACCCGAUGCAAACUACGAAUACCGAAGAAUGUUAUCACGGGAGACACACGGCGGGUGCUAACGUCCGUCGUGAAGAGGGAAACAACCCAGACCGCCAGCUAAGGUCCCAAAGUCAUGGUUAAGUGGGAAACGAUGUGGGAAGGCACAGACAGCCAGGAUGUUGGCUUAGAAGCAGCCAUCAUUUAAAGAAAGCGUAAUAGCUCACUGGUCGAGUCGGCCUGCGCGGAAGAUGUAACGGGGCUAAACCAUGCACCGAAGCUGCGGCAGCGACACUAUGUGUUGUUGGGUAGGGGAGCGUUCUGUAAGCCUGCGAAGGUGACCUGUGAGGGUUGCUGGAGGUAUCAGAAGUGCGAAUGCUGACAUAAGUAACGAUAAAGCGGGUGAAAAGCCCGCUCGCCGGAAGACCAAGGGUUCCUGUCCAACGUUAAUCGGGGCAGGGUGAGUCGACCCCUAAGGCGAGGCCGAAAGGCGUAGUCGAUGGGAAACAGGUUAAUAUUCCUGUACUUGGUGUUACUGCGAAGGGGGGACGGAGAAGGCUAUGUUAGCCGGGCGACGGUUGUCCCGGUUUAAGCAUGUAGGCUGGUUGUCCAGGCAAAUCCGGAUAAUCAAGGCUGAGGUGUGAUGACGAGGCACUACGGUGCUGAAGUAACAAAUGCCCUGCUUCCAGGAAAAGCCUCUAAGCAUCAGGUAACAUCAAAUCGUACCCCAAACCGACACAGGUGGUCAGGUAGAGAAUACCAAGGCGCUUGAGAGAACUCGGGUGAAGGAACUAGGCAAAAUGGUGCCGUAACUUCGGGAGAAGGCACGCUGGUGUGUAGGUGAAGUCCCUGCGGAUGGAGCUGAGACCAGUCGAAGAUACCAGCUGGCUGCAACUGUUUAUUAAAAACACAGCACUGUGCAAACACGAAAGUGGACGUAUACGGUGUGACGCCUGCCCGGUGCCGGAAGGUUAAUUGAUGGGGUUAUCCGUAAGGAGAAGCUCUUGAUCGAAGCCCCGGUAAACGGCGGCCGUAACUAUAACGGUCCUAAGGUAGCGAAAUUCCUUGUCGGGUAAGUUCCGACCUGCACGAAUGGCGUAAUGAUGGCCAGGCUGUCUCCACCCGAGACUCAGUGAAAUUGAACUCGCUGUGAAGAUGCAGUGUACCCGCGGCAAGACGGAAAGACCCCGUGAACCUUUACUAUAGCUUGACACUGAACAUUGAGCCUUGAUGUGUAGGAUAGGUGGGAGGCUUUGAAGCGUGGACGCCAGUCUGCGUGGAGCCAACCUUGAAAUACCACCCUUUAAUGUUUGAUGUUCUAACGUUGGCCCCUUACCGGGGUUGCGGACAGUGUCUGGUGGGUAGUUUGACUGGGGCGGUCUCCUCCCAAAGCGUAACGGAGGAGCACGAAGGUUAGCUAAUCCUGGUCGGACAUCAGGAGGUUAGUGCAAUGGCAUAAGCUAGCUUGACUGCGAGCGUGACGGCGCGAGCAGGUGCGAAAGCAGGUCAUAGUGAUCCGGUGGUUCUGAAUGGAAGGGCCAUCGCUCAACGGAUAAAAGGUACUCCGGGGAUAACAGGCUGAUACCGCCCAAGAGUUCAUAUCGACGGCGGUGUUUGGCACCUCGAUGUCGGCUCAUCACAUCCUGGGGCUGAAGUAGGUCCCAAGGGUAUGGCUGUUCGCCAUUUAAAGUGGUACGCGAGCUGGGUUUAGAACGUCGUGAGACAGUUCGGUCCCUAUCUGCCGUGGGCGCUGGAGAAUUGAGGGGGGCUGCUCCUAGUACGAGAGGACCGGAGUGGACGCAUCACUGGUGUUCGGGUUGUCAUGCCAAUGGCACUGCCCGGUAGCUAAAUGCGGAAGAGAUAAGUGCUGAAAGCAUCUAAGCACGAAACUUGCCCCGAGAUGAGUUCUCCCUGAGACUUUAAGUCUCCUGAAGGAACGUUAAAGACGAUGACGUUGAUAGGCCGGGUGUGUAAGCGCAGCGAUGCGUUGAGCUAACCGGUACUAAUGAACCGUGAGGCUUAACCUU
rnacentral:rRNA from 2 species